rnacentral:rRNA from 1 species
UUAAGCGACUAAGCGUACACGGUGGAUGCCCUGGCAGUCAGAGGCGAUGAAGGACGUGCUAAUCUGCGAAAAGCGUCGGUAAGGUGAUAUGAACCGUUAUAACCGGCGAUGUCCGAAUGGGGAAACCCAGUGUGAUUCGUCACACUAUCGUUAACUGAAUACAUAGGUUAACGAGGCGAACCGGGGGAACUGAAACAUCUAAGUACCCCGAGGAAAAGAAAUCAACCGAGAUUCCCCCAGUAGCGGCGAGCGAACGGGGAGCAGCCCAGAGUCUGAAUCAGCUUGUGUGUUAGUGGAACGGUCUGGAAAGUCCGACGGUACAGGGUGAUAGUCCCGUACACCAAAAUGCACAGGCUGUGAACUCGAAGAGUAGGGCGGGACACGUGGUAUCCUGUCUGAAUAUGGGGGGACCAUCCUCCAAGGCUAAAUACUCCUGACUGACCGAUAGUGAACCAGUACCGUGAGGGAAAGGCGAAAAGAACCCCGGCGAGGGGAGUGAAAAAGAACCUGAAACCGUGUACGUACAAGCAGUGGGAGCACCUUCGGGUGUGACUGCGUACCUUUUGUAUAAUGGGUCAGCGACUUAUAUUCUGUAGCAAGGUUAACCGUAUAGGGGAGCCGCAGGGAAACCGAGUCUUAACUGGGCGUUAAGUUGCAGGGUAUAGACCCGAAACCCGGUGAUCUAGCCAUGGGCAGGUUGAAGGUUGGGUAACACUAACUGGAGGACCGAACCGACUAAUGUUGAAAAAUUAGCGGAUGACUUGUGGCUGGGGGUGAAAGGCCAAUCAAACCGGGAGAUAGCUGGUUCUCCCCGAAAGCUAUUUAGGUAGCGCCUCGUGAAUUCAUCUUCGGGGGUAGAGCACUGUUUCGGCUAGGGGGUCAUCCCGACUUACCAACCCGAUGCAAACUACGAAUACCGAAGAAUGUUAUCACGGGAGACACACGGCGGGUGCUAACGUCCGUCGUGAAGAGGGAAACAACCCAGACCGCCAGCUAAGGUCCCAAAGUCAUGGUUAAGUGGGAAACGAUGUGGGAAGGCACAGACAGCCAGGAUGUUGGCUUAGAAGCAGCCAUCAUUUAAAGAAAGCGUAAUAGCUCACUGGUCGAGUCGGCCUGCGCGGAAGAUGUAACGGGGCUAAACCAUGCACCGAAGCUGCGGCAGCGACACUAUGUGUUGUUGGGUAGGGGAGCGUUCUGUAAGCCUGCGAAGGUGUGCUGUGAGGGUUGCUGGAGGUAUCAGAAGUGCGAAUGCUGACAUAAGUAACGAUAAAGCGGGUGAAAAGCCCGCUCGCCGGAAGACCAAGGGUUCCUGUCCAACGUUAAUCGGGGCAGGGUGAGUCGACCCCUAAGGCGAGGCCGAAAGGCGUAGUCGAUGGGAAACAGGUUAAUAUUCCUGUACUUGGUGUUACUGCGAAGGGGGGACGGAGAAGGCUAUGUUAGCCGGGCGACGGUUGUCCCGGUUUAAGCAUGUAGGCUGAUUGUCCAGGCAAAUCCGGAUAAUCAAGGCUGAGGUGUGAUGACGAGGCACUACGGUGCUGAAGUAACAAAUGCCCUGCUUCCAGGAAAAGCCUCUAAGCAUCAGGUAACAUCAAAUCGUACCCCAAACCGACACAGGUGGUCAGGUAGAGAAUACCAAGGCGCUUGAGAGAACUCGGGUGAAGGAACUAGGCAAAAUGGUGCCGUAACUUCGGGAGAAGGCACGCUGGUGUGUAGGUGAAGUCCCUGCGGAUGGAGCUGAGACCAGUCGAAGAUACCAGCUGGCUGCAACUGUUUAUUAAAAACACAGCACUGUGCAAACACGAAAGUGGACGUAUACGGUGUGACGCCUGCCCGGUGCCGGAAGGUUAAUUGAUGGGGUUAUCCGUAAGGAGAAGCUCUUGAUCGAAGCCCCGGUAAACGGCGGCCGUAACUAUAACGGUCCUAAGGUAGCGAAAUUCCUUGUCGGGUAAGUUCCGACCUGCACGAAUGGCGUAAUGAUGGCCAGGCUGUCUCCACCCGAGACUCAGUGAAAUUGAACUCGCUGUGAAGAUGCAGUGUACCCGCGGCAAGACGGAAAGACCCCGUGAACCUUUACUAUAGCUUGACACUGAACAUUGAGCCUUGAUGUGUAGGAUAGGUGGGAGGCUUUGAAGCGUGGACGCCAGUCUGCGUGGAGCCAACCUUGAAAUACCACCCUUUAAUGUUUGAUGUUCUAACGUUGGCCCCUUACCGGGGUUGCGGACAGUGUCUGGUGGGUAGUUUGACUGGGGCGGUCUCCUCCCAAAGCGUAACGGAGGAGCACGAAGGUUAGCUAAUCCUGGUCGGACAUCAGGAGGUUAGUGCAAUGGCAUAAGCUAGCUUGACUGCGAGCGUGACGGCGCGAGCAGGUGCGAAAGCAGGUCAUAGUGAUCCGGUGGUUCUGAAUGGAAGGGCCAUCGCUCAACGGAUAAAAGGUACUCCGGGGAUAACAGGCUGAUACCGCCCAAGAGUUCAUAUCGACGGCGGUGUUUGGCACCUCGAUGUCGGCUCAUCACAUCCUGGGGCUGAAGUAGGUCCCAAGGGUAUGGCUGUUCGCCAUUUAAAGUGGUACGCGAGCUGGGUUUAGAACGUCGUGAGACAGUUCGGUCCCUAUCUGCCGUGGGCGCUGGAGAAUUGAGGGGGGCUGCUCCUAGUACGAGAGGACCGGAGUGGACGCAUCACUGGUGUUCGGGUUGUCAUGCCAAUGGCACUGCCCGGUAGCUAAAUGCGGAAGAGAUAAGUGCUGAAAGCAUCUAAGCACGAAACUUGCCCCGAGAUGAGUUCUCCCUGAGACUUUAAGUCUCCUGAAGGAACGUUAAAGACGAUGACGUUGAUAGGCCGGGUGUGUAAGCGCAGCGAUGCGUUGAGCUAACCGGUACUAAUGAACCGUGAGGCUUAACCUU